GACGGAAUUUACGUGCAAGGUGCCGCAACGCAGAUUCUCUGCCGCGGUUAAACGGGAAACAGGUGAGCGUCGACGCGACGCGAUGCCUGUGCUGCCCCCGCAACGGUAAGCGAGUGCGGGUGUGUCACAUGCCACUGGGCGAAAGCUUGGGAAGGCGACACAUCAAGACUCGCGAGCCCGGAUACCGGCCUUCGCACACAUCAGCGG
rnacentral:ncRNA from 2 species